CCUACGGGUGGCAGCAGUGAGGAAUAUUGGUCAAUGGACGCAAGUCUGAACCAGCCAUGCCGCGUGCAGGAAGACGGCUCUAUGAGUUGUAAACUGCUUUUGUACGAGGGUAAACGCAGAUACGCGUAUCUGUCUGAAAGUAUCGUACGAAUAAGGAUCGGCUAACUCCGUGCCAGCAGCCGCGGUAAUACGGAGGAUUCAAGCGUUAUCCGGAUUUAUUGGGGUUAAAGGGUGCGUAGGCGGUCGGAUAAGUUAGAGGUGAAAUCCCGGGGCUCAACUUCGGAAUUGCCUCUGAUACUGUUCGGCGAGAGAGUAGUUGCGGUAGGCGGAAUGUAUGGGGUAGCGGUGAAAUGCUUAGAGAUCAUACAGAACACCGAUGGCGAAGGCAGCUUACCAAGCUACUUCUGACGUUGAGGCACGAAAGCGUGGGGAGCAAACAGGAUUAGAUACCCUGGUAGUC
rnacentral:rRNA from 1 species